UCGGAGACGGUGCUCGUGCGGGCGGUGAUGCGACACGCGUAUCCGAAAGACUCUCGGCAACGGAUAUCUCGGCUCUUGCAUCGAUGAAGAACGUAGCGAAAUGCGAUACUUGGUGUGAAUUGCAGAAUCCCGUGAACCAUCGAGUCUUUGAACGCAAGUUGCGCCCGAAGCCAUUAGGCCGAGGGCACGCCUGCCUGGGUGUCGCCCAUCGUUGCCCCAGUGCCUUGGCCUCGUGCUAGGCACCGAGCUGGGCGAAUGCUGGCUUCCCGCGAGCAACGCCUCACGGUUGGCUGAAAACUGAGUCCGUGGUGGAGGGCGUCGUGACGGAUGGUGGUUGAG
rnacentral:rRNA from 1 species